rnacentral:rRNA from 1 species
AGAUUGAACGCUGGCGGAAUGCUUUACACAUGCAAGUCGAACGGCAGCACGGGGGCAACCCUGGUGGCGAGUGGCGAACGGGUGAGUAAUGUAUCGGAACGUGCCCAGUCGUGGGGGAUAACUAUCCGAAAGGAUAGCUAAUACCGCAUACGUCCUGAGGGAGAAAGCGGGGGACCUGCAAAGGCCUCGCGCGAUUGGAGCGGCCGAUAUCGGAUUAGCUAGUUGGUGGGGUAAAGGCUCACCAAGGCGACGGUCCGUAGCGGGUCUGAGAGGACGACCCGCCACACUGGAACUGAGACACGGUCCAGACUCCUACGGAGGCAGCAGUGGGGAAUUUGGACAAUGGGGGCAACCCUGAUCCAGCCAUUCCGCGUGAGUGAAGAAGG